UUGUUUUCCUUCUCUCUCUGAACCUUGGUAUGUAUUUUGAUUGAAUCACAGGGAGAAAGAAUUAGCCGCUGUUAAGAUAAAUGCAGCAGAUGUUGAUAUAAUUGCAAACGAACUAGAGUUGGACAAAAAGGUGGCUGAAAGAACCCUGCGUGAGCAUAAAGGUGAUGCUGUUGCUGCCAUUCGUCAUUUGCUUCACUAGUGUGGUAGAAACAAACAAGGGAAUAUGAUCUGUAUUGGCUUAUAUUUACUAUUUUGCAUUGAAAUUUGAAUCUCAAAUGUAUACUAUGAUGAUGAUGAUAUAGUUCAUUAGAAAUCUGAACUAUGAUGUUGAUGAUAUUGGAAUAAGCCUCACCCCCUCAA